UACAACAUAGCGUUAAUGUAGAAGAUCCCAUUAGAACUCUACAAUUUAGCGUGCUCAAGCUAGAGUAGUACUGGGAUGGGUGACCGCACGAGAAGUCCCAUUGUUUUAC
rfam:Picea glauca, whole genome shotgun sequence.